rnacentral:rRNA from 1 species
UACAGAGGUCCCAAGCGUUGUUCGGAUUCACUGGGCGUAAAGGGUGCGUAGGUGGCGGGGCAAGUCGGAUGUGAAAUCUCGGAGCUUAACUCCGAAACUGCAUUGGAAACUGCCUUGCUAGAGGGUUGGAGGGGGGACUGGAAUACUUGGUGUAGCAGUGAAAUGCGUAGAUAUCAAGUGGAACACCAGUGGCGAAGGCGAGUCCCUGGACAACAUCUGACACUGAGGCACGAAAGCUAGGGGAGCAAACAGG